GACGUAGGUGGCGACCGUUAUCCGGAAUUAUUGGGCGUAAAGGGUGCGUAGGCGGCAUGAUAAGUUAUUGGCGGCAAAUCGAGGCUCAACCUCGUGGAAACUAAUAAUACUGUCUUGCUUGAGUGCAGAAGAGGUUAACGGAACUCCAUGUGGAGCGGUAAAAUGUGUAGAUAUAUGGAAGAACAUCAAUAACGGCGAAGGCAGUUAACUAUUCUGUUACUGACGUUGAGGCACGAAAGCGUGGGGAGCAAAAAGG
rnacentral:rRNA from 1 species